rnacentral:rRNA from 1 species
CACGUAGGGGACGAGCGUUGUCCGGAUUCAUUGGGCGUAAAGAGCUCGUAGGCGGUUUGUCGCGUCUGCCGUGAAAGUCCGGGGCUCAACUCCGGAUCUGCGGUGGGUACGGGCAGACUAGAGUGAUGUAGGGGAGACUGGAAUUCCUGGUGUAGCGGUGAAAUGCGCAGAUAUCAGGAGGAACACCGAUGGCGAAGGCAGGUCUCUGGGCAUUAACUGACGCUGAGGAGCGAAAGCAUGGGGAGCGAACAGG